rnacentral:rRNA from 1 species
CACUCCUGCGGGAGGCAGCAGUGGGGAAUAUUGGACAAUGGGCGCAAGCCUGAUCCAGCCAUGCCGCGUGAGUGAUGAAGGCCCUAGGGUUGUAAAGCUCUUUCACCGGUGAAGAUAAUGACGGUAACCGGAGAAGAAGCCCCGGCUAACUUCGUGCCAGCAGCCGCGGUAAUACGAAGGGGGCUAGCGUUGUUCGGAUUUACUGGGCGUAAAGCGCACGUAGGCGGACUAUUAAGUCAGGGGUGAAAUCCCGGGGCUCAACCCCGGAACUGCCUUUGAUACUGGUAGUCUUGAGUGCGAGAGAGGUGAGUGGAAUUCCGAGUGUAGAGGUGAAAUUCGUAGAUAUUCGGAGGAACACCAGUGGCGAAGGCGGCUCACUGGCUCGAUACUGACGCUGAGGUGCGAAAGCGUGGGGAGCAAACAGGAUUAGAUACCCUAGUAGUCCCAUGA